rnacentral:rRNA from 1 species
GAUGAACGCGUGGCGGCAUGCCUAAUACAUGCAAGUCGAACGAACGUACUUCGGUAGUGAGUGGCGAACGGGUGAGUAACACGUAGGUAACCUGCCGCUCUUACUGGGACAACUUUUGGAAACGAAAGCUAAUACCGGAUAUAUCCCUGAAAGGCAUCUUACAGGGAGGAAAGAUGCAACUGCAUCGAAGAGCGAUGGACCUGCGGCGCAUUAGCUAGUUGGCGGGGUAACGGCCCACCAAGGCGAUGAUGCGUAGCCGACCUGAGAGGGUGAACGGCCACAUUGGAACUGAGACACGGUCCAA